rnacentral:rRNA from 1 species
GAUGAACGCUGGCGGCGUGCCUAAUACAUGCAAGUCGAGCGAAUGGAUUGAGAGCUUGCUCUUAUGAAGUUAGCGGCGGACGGGUGAGUAACACGUGGGUAACCUGCCCAUAAGACUGGGAUAACUCCGGGAAACCGGGGCUAAUACCGGAUAACAUUUUGAACCGCAUGGUUCGAAAUUGAAAGGCGGCUUCGGCUGUCACUUAUGGAUGGACCCGCGUCGCAUUAGCUAGUUGGUGAGGUAACGGCUCACCAAGGCAACGAUGCGUAGCCGACCUGGGAGGGUGAUCGGCCACACUGGGACUGAGACACGGCCCAGACUCCUACGGGAGGCAGCAGUAGGGAAUCUUCCGCAAUGGACGAAAGUCUGACGGAGCAACGCCGCGCGAGUGAUGAAGGCUUUCGGGUCGUAAAACUCUGUUGUUAGGGAAGAACAAGUGCUAGUUGAAUAAGCAGGCACCUUGACGGUACCUAACCAGAAAGCCACGGCUAACUACGUGCCAGCCGCCGCGGUAA